AGAGUUUGAUCAUGGCUCAGAACGAACGCUGGCGGCAGGCCUAACACAUGCAAGUCGAACGCUCCGCAAGGGGAGUGGCAGACGGGUGAGUAACACGUGGGAACCUACCUCGAGGUGCGGAACAACCAAGGGAAACUUUGGCUAAUACCGCAUGUGCCCUUAGGGGGAAAGAUUUAUCGCCUUGGGAUGGGCCCGCGUCGGAUUAGCUAGUUGGUGUGGUAAUGGCGCACCAAGGCGACGAUCCGUAGCUGGUCUGAGAGGAUGAUCAGCCACACUGGGACUGAGACACGGCCCAGACUCCUACGGGAGGCAGCAGUGGGGAAUAUUGGACAAUGGGCGCAAGCCUGAUCCAGCCAUGCCGCGUGUGUGAUGAAGGCCUUAGGGUUGUAAAGCACUUUCGCCGAUGAAGAUAAUGACUGUAGUCGGAGAAGAAGCCCCGGCUAACUUCGUG
rnacentral:rRNA from 1 species